GUUCAACGAAUAUAAAUGUAUCAUUGGAUAUAACCCUCGUUUACUUGGAAAACUUUUGACUUUAUGUGCAUAUAGAAAUAGUUUUUCGGUUUAGACACUGAUUAUGGGUAAUUUGCGGCCCACAGGAGCCUUUUGUAAACAUUCUAGAGGAAACAAUUGUGGAAGCCUUGAAAGUAGUUCUUGGUAUAACUAACACUUAAUAAUGUUUAAUCCAUAUCAUAGCUUUCGCAUUCUUAUUUACUUAACUAUUUCUCUAUUUCGUUUGCCAUUAUUGUCUUUUCAUUAUUAGAUGAGAGAAACCACCCCAUUCUAAUUCAUUGCAAACGAGGGAUGCACCGAACGGGUUGUCUCAUGGGUUGCUUAAGGAGAAUGCAAAAAUGGUGUCUUUCAUCUAUUUUCGAUGAAUACCAGAGAUUUGCUGCAGCCAAAGCCAGAGUUUCAGAUCAGAGGUUCAUAGAAAUGUUCGAUAUUUCUAGCCUUAACCAGUUAACAUUCCCAUUUUCUUGUUCAAAGAGACAAAAACAGAUGCCAUAGCAAAAAAGUGAUAGAAAGAUUAUCAUCCUACCAUAAAGGGAUGAGAAGCAUGCAUUUAUAGUCCUUGUGGGGUAUGAGUUAGUUGUGUUUUCUUGUUCAGUUUUAGUAUAUACAUUUAGGCACUUCUUUAUACCAGCAAAUUUUAGACUUGCAUUUACAUAAAUAUCAGAUUAUUUCUACUUAACUGGCUUGAAGUUAAGACCAAAAAAAUCAGAUAUUCUAAUAUAAACAUAUCAUAUAAGGCA